rnacentral:lncRNA from 1 species
AUGAUGCCAGCUGUUGUUAGCUGCCCACUCCCCUGCCCCAAGCAUGUGUUUUGGUUGGGUAAUUUCCAGUUGCCUCCACCAGAAUGUCCUAUAACUUGCAGCAGUGCUAAUCAUCCGUGCAUCCAUCCAUGCAUCCAUCCGUGCAUCCAUCCAUGCAUCCAUCCAUGCAUCCAUCCAAACAAGAUCAAUGGGCACUUAUGGGCCCCACACUGCCAAUGGGUGUGUUCCAUCCACUGGCCCUGUGAACUGCAAGGAAGUCUCUUCCUUUGCUGUAUGUCGCAGGGCCAGGGAGAUCCUCUGAAGGACCCCAUGUGCUUGCGUUGCUUUCAGACUUUGCACUGCCCUGGCAGGUUGGCUCAAAGGGCACAAAGACAUCUAAACCUAGGUCUGCAGGUGUGCUUGGUUCUCCCUCUUUCCCAGACUCUUGAUGACAGGAUGAGGACACUAAGGCCCAGGGAGGAUGAAGGGACUUGCCCAAGGUCACACAGAAAUGAUGAGCAAGCCGACUUCAGAAAAACCGGAAAGAUUUGCGUGGACUGAUGCUGAGUGAAGUGAGCAGAACCAGGAGAACGUUGUACACAGUAACAGCCACGUUGUGCGAUGACUAACAUUGAUAGACUUAACCCUUCCCAGCAAUGCAAGGAUCGAAGACAUCUCCAAAGGCCUCACAAUGGAAAAUGCUGUCCACAUCCAAAGAAAGAACUGUGGGGUUUGAAUGCAGAUAGCAGCACGCUAUUUGCUAUUUUUUUUUUCUGUCGAGUUAUGUUUCCUCUUUCUGGUGGUUCCUCCUAUUGAUUCUAAUUCUUCCUUACAACAUCACUAGUGUGAAAAUAUGUUUAAUAGGAAUGUACGUGUAGAGCCUAUAUCAGAUUGUGUGCUGUCUUGGGGAGGGAAGUAGGAAGGGAGGGGGAGAAAAAUUUUAAACUCAAAAGCUUAUGGAAGCGAUUGUUGAUAAAUCAAAAUAAAUUAAUAAAAAAAAAUCUGGUUCCCCUACCA